rnacentral:misc_RNA from 1 species
CCAUGAUUGUUGCUUGCCAGUGGAACAUGUCAUCAGCAACUGGUCCAGCACUGCAUGAAGCUGGAGGGUCACGCUGCAGGUCCUUCAAUUCCUUGUUAAUCCGCUUUGAAGCCAUCACAAAUUCUCUGUUGAUUAGGGUUCAAUGGCAGGACUAAAUUUGGAGCGCAAAUUUAUUUGGGAUGGCGUAGAGAUAGAACUUUGUGAGUUUAUAUUUGUAAGAGUAAAGCGAAAGAGAGAGAAUCUGUGAGAUGCUUUAGGUGCCUUAAGGCGGUG